rnacentral:rRNA from 1 species
UACGGAAGGGGCAAGCGUUGUUCGGAAUCAUUGGGCGUAAAGGGCGCGUAGGUGGUUCUGUAUGUCUACUGUAGAAGCGUACAGCUCAACUGUAUUUUGUCGGUAGAAACUGCAGGACUUGAGGCUGGGAGGGGCUGGUGGAAUUCCCUGUGUAGCGGUGAAAUGCGUAGAGAUGGGGGAGAACACUCGUGGCGAAGGCGGCCAGCUAGACCAGUUCUGACACUGAGGCGCGACAGCGUGGGGAGCAAACAGG